AGAUGGCUUCCUGUACUCAAGGACUGUUUGCACAGCAUAAGAGAAUGGCUUAUUUAGGAUACAUUUUAAGCCCCGCUGGCCAGGUCUCGAUUACGAAUCUCCUCUUCUGCCUCUAACGCUUCCAGUGCAGCAGGACGGGGUGGUGCCCGGUGUCCUCCCCACAGGCCCAGAGUACUCACACGAGGUGCUGAUCUCGGAUCUUGCGCAGCUGGAUCAGGCCUCCCAACAGUUUAUACUACUGCCUUGAAGGGAAAGCCUGCCUGAGGAUGAAGCCAACACAGAGGAAAAUUGAGCCAACAGACAGAGAAUAAGGAGAAUCCUGAUGAUAUAGUUUGGGCCCUGGACCCAGCCAUGACUGAACAAGUAAAGCUGGGUUACUGUGUGAACUAAAUGUGCUAAUAACAUGUAAAAGGACCAAACAGUGUCUGGGACAUCUUGGUAAGCACUCAGGAGAUGAUGGUCCUAAGCUUUUCCAGCAUACAAAGUUUUGCUGUGCUCUGAACCCUAAGGCAACAACUGUCCA